GUGCCAGCCUCCGCGGUAAUACGGAGGGCGCAAGCGUUGUCCGGAAUCACUGGGCGUAAAGGGUGCGUAGGCGGGGCGGCAAGUCGGAGGUGAAAGCCCGUGGCUCAACCACGGAAGUGCCUUCGAAACUGUUGCUCUUGAGUCCCGGAGAGGUUGCCGGAAUUCGUGGUGUAGCGGUGAAAUGCGUAGAUAUCACGAGGAACACCAGAGGCGAAAGCGGGCAACUGGACGGGUACUGACGCUCAGGCACGAAAGCGCGGGGAGCAAACAGGAUUAGAAACCCGUGUAGUCC
rnacentral:rRNA from 1 species